rnacentral:rRNA from 1 species
GUGGGGAAUCUUGCGCAAUGGGCGAAAGCCUGACGCAGCCAUGCCGCGUGGAUGAUGAAGGUCUUAGGAUUGUAAAAUCCUUUCACCGGUGAAGAUAAUGACUGUAGCCGGAGAAGAAGCCCCGGCUAACUUCGUGCCAGCAGCCGCGGUAAUACGAAGGGGGCUAGCGUUGCUCGGAAUUACUGGGCGUAAAGGGAGCGUAGGCGGACAUUUAAGUCAGGGGUGAAAUCCCGAGGCUCAACCUCGGAACUGCCUUUGAUACUGGGUGUCUUGAGUGUGAGAGAGGUGAGUGGAACUCCGAGUGUAGAGGUGAAAUUCGUAGAUAUUCGGAAGAACACCAGUGGCGAAGGCGACUCACUGGCUCAUUACUGACGCUGAGGCUCGAAAGCGUGGGGAGCGAACGGGAUUAGAUACCCCUGUAGUCC